GUCCCUUUGGGGACAUCUGAUAAAAUUGAAACGAUAAAGUGAAAAUUAGCAUAGUCCUUACAUAAAAAUAAAACGUACAAAGUGACAGUACAACAACAAAACU